AGCCUCCAAAUUUUUUUUCAUCUUCAUAUUGAAACAAUGACAAAAUGAAGAAUGCGCGUCUGACUGCGACCUUUGGAAGAAUUCACGUUUCCAAAACGUAAACCUACCUGAUAUUCCAGGCUGUGAUUAAAGCGCUCGGAACCAGCAACCCAGCAAUCCCUCCAACAAAGCUCCGUUACAUAAAGCCCCCAACAAUCCCGGCCAAGCAGUCACCCGGGAUGACUUUAUUUUAUCCACAUUUUCGGCCCUAUUCUGUCCACCCGUUCACCUCUUAAACCAGACGAUCCUAUGAAUGGUUUCGCCUUCGCCUCCCGGAGCUCAAGUCUCCCCGCUGCUGAGCGAGGCGAGACUGAAGCGCCGAUGGAACAGGAGCCCCCCUACCCCGGGUGCUCCAGCGUCUCAGUGUGAAAUAGACGCAAAGUGGAGCCUGUGCUGAAGGCAAUCCAGAUGCCGACCCCUGCAACUACCAUGUGGGACACCACCAUACCCUCUUCCUGGUGGGCCUCCAUUUGCCUCUGGGUAAAGAAAACAGGACAGCAAGCCACAAGGCAAAAAGCAAGCAUGGCAGAAUGAGGAUGACCAGCCCGCUUCACAUACGCAUACGAAGAGUUCCAAUGCAAGAAGUCGAAAGAUGCAAAGCAGAAUCACUGCCACUUCACUGCUUUUUGAUGUCUUGUCCCAAUUCAGUGUUGUAUGAGCCGAGUAACACUCCACCACAGUAGAAUGUAGGCCACUUGUUUAUUGCACAGUAGCUGUGCUUUAUUAUAAAAUAAGGUGGUUGAGGGAAAUGGAAUAGGCAUGGACAAGCAAUAGAUAGAUAGCCUUUCUUGUCCCAUAGGGAAAUUUAUUUUCACAGUCUGUAAUCACCAACAUGAAUACUAAACCACAUCAAUUCAUAAUAGACAACAUUUAGGAUAGACAAGGAGAACACUCAGACAACUGGCCCCUAAUGGGUUAUCAUGGGAGGUUAUUGAGUUCUGAGAUGGCAGAUGGGACCAAGCUUUUAUGGAAGUGAGCCCGUCUCCAUCUUAGGGUCCCGUAUCUGUGACCAGAGGGCAGCAGUGUGAAGUGUGAGGUGAGAGGUUGGCCCAUGUCAUUGAUUAUUGACAAGGCAGUGUUGGGUGUGGGGUCAUUAGUGAUCUUGGAUGCAUGGAUGUGUGUGUUAUUUUUCGAUCAGUUUGUACCUGCUGGUUAGGGCUGCAACCAACAAUUAUUUGUAUAAUCGGUUCAUCGGACAAUUAAUUAAAUGAUUAAUUGAUAAAUUGGAUAAAUGUGACUCUUUUAAUUACCUUCACAAUUUAACUUUGUUGUUUUAGGCAUGUUGUAAGUAACAUUGAAGACAAAAUGGAUGACUAUUUCCUUCAAAAAUAAUAUUUUAUGACCGGUGCCUGACUUAACUGUAGUCUGCAACUGUACUGUUUUAAGUACAUAAAACUUCAAGUUUUUAAAUGAAGGUUCUGAGUAUAAAACAUAAAAAUAAUUUGUCAGUACACAAAUCAGACAAAAUUCCUGUUCAUUCAAAUAAAAAAAAAAAAAACUGCUGCUGAUUAACAUUUUGUUUCUUGUGGGCAGAGCACUGAUAUAAAUUGUGUCAAUGACACUUUUUUUUUCUUUAAACAAACUAAACAACAAAAUCGAAUAAGGAGUAGGGAGACGUUAAUAAAUCAGUCUUCUUUAUCAAACAGGUAUUCAUAAAUACAAUCCAAAUCCAAUUUCAAAGCACACUCUUUUUUAUUUAUUAUUUAUUUAUUUUCCCUUCAGGCAUGACAAAUCCAAACAAACAUACAGCAUUUAUAUGUGUUUACAAUUAAUUCAACCCAAAAAGAAAAGGGCUGACGGGAGAAGCCGAAGCUUGACUGAUGGGAGAAGCCGAAGCUUGACGGGAGAAGCCGAAGCUUAAUGUAUGACAAUUUAAAGUUUAAGUUUGUAUUGAAAGGAGACUCUAUGCUGUUAUUUGAAUGGGUGUUUUUGUGCAGUUUCUUUAUAAAAUGAAAUUAGACAACUUUACUAUCUAACAAUAACUAGUGAUAAUAUGCUUCUCCAAAACACAAUACAAAUGACAUUAAUUAGCAGAAUCGCUAACUAGCUUAACGCUCAACCAGUCCAGGUCACAGUUCCCACUAAUUAAACAAUUUAACAAAAUGAGCAUACCAAGAAAUUAUCAAAUUCAGUGCUUUCAACCAGUGUUUUUAUACAACGGUGCCGCGGCACGCUACUGUGUCGUGGAAAAUCAUCAACUUUCACCUAAUUGAUGUAAAAGGGUUUUUUGAAAAUGAAUCCGCAAAUGUGCCAUUGUUGAAUGUCUGUGCAAUAGUCUUGUAAUGCAAUACCAUUCCAUAUCAGUGUCAAUAGGUAGCUAAUUACUUUGUUUAGUAAGGCGCACGAGGUAAGAAUGGCAUUGGGGCUAGCAGCUAGCUAGCGAACUACAACGGUGACACAGAUGGAAAAAGUUUUUGAAAGAAAAGAUGAUAACUCAGAGCUGGACACUGGACUAAAUUCAUUCAAUGGUGGUCCAAAGGAAGCAAAGACUAUUUCCCCUCGAAGAGUGUCUGGUGUGAGGCAAAAAGCAAAACCUUUCAUUGGGAUGAGAUGAAAGUAGCUGGAUUAACUGUUAUUGGGGAUGCAGUGAUACAGUCUCCAAUACAAAAAACCCCAGGUGUCACACCGAGUGAGUAAAAAUAGGAUUGUAAAAUGUGUUUUUCUUUGUGUCAGAUUCGAUUCCUAUUCAAUACACGACUUUAUAUUGUUAAUAUAGGCUACAGAAAUUCAUUUUUAUGUUUUUUCUGCUGGUGGUAUGCCUUGGGAUUUUUUUUUUUUUUUUAAAGAAAAAGGUGUGCUGUGGCUCAUAGCAGGGUGGAAAAUAAUGCUAUAGACAUGGUCUACCUUCAGCUGGUAAACAGUGAAAAGCAAAGUCUAAUGACAGGACUUAGUCAAAUGCUCACAUUACUUAACAAAUCGGUUGGUUGGAAUUAAUUUAUUCUGUUCGAAUUUCCCACUUUAAUAGGAGCUUUUUGGGGUUGCAACAGAAAAUAAUUGAGAAGUACUGGUGCAAUAACACAAGCACAAGUUAGUUGCUGUGAAAAUGUUUAGCAGCAUUGCAAUGGUGACACAAGCAGCCAUUAUCCAACUACUGAUACAAAAUGUGUCACAGUUUUAGCAUGGAGCAACACAUUAAAGGGGAAGAGUUGCUUCAGGGAUGAAAUCAGGCAUUAGCUCAGAGGAUAAAAGCCCAAAAAGAAAAUAUUCAGCUUUGCCAAAGCUUUACAAAGAGAGUCAUUGUGAUGCUUUCUACUAAUUAGUGGGCAGAAAACAAAGGAGAAAAAAAAUCAUGUGGCGAAUAGAACAAGCAGUUAUAGGAAGUCAAAAACACAGUGUGAGCAUCAUUUUGCUUUUGGAACAGGAUAGAUGGAGUUUCCCUAGGAAAAUUGCUGGGAAUUAAACAAAGACAUCUGAUUUAGGUAACAUAAGAAGACAAACUGAGAAAUGAAUGACUCUUGUUAUUAAAACAAAUGUUGUAAUUGGCAAAGGUUGUUCAUAUAGGGCCCAGGCGUAUUUGUAUGUUUCAUAUAUAUGCAUAUCAUUAUAAAAUAUAGAUGUGAAUAUAGUGAAAAUGAGAGAGAAUGUAAAAAAGCCAAAUAGCAGAUGGAAUACAACAGAGAAUGGAACAGACGGUGGGAAGGAAAUCCAGCCUGGAUCCAUUCCUCUCUCUGUGUAUGUCUAGAAACGAGGACAAUAUAUGGGUCACCUAUUUGAGAAUGACUUCUCCCAGACAGCCAAGCAAAUGGAAACUGAACAGCAACAAAAUUGAAAGGCUGACCCCUGAUAGCGUGAUGCACAGUGAGGUGCUCAUUUCAACGGUAACUGCAAAAGCCACUGUAGCAGAGCUACCAACUUAGCAACACUGCACUGAUUCACAUUUUGUGGUUGAGACUAAAAUCCAUUCAGGUCAGGCUUAGACUAAAUAUUUGAGCAAAUGGUGUUCCCUUACACACCUCAAUUUUCUCUGAGAACCUGCUUCUGUUUUACACAAUAAGAAUUGGUUAACCAUAAUUAUCUCAUUAGGACCAUUUAAAAUAGUCAACAAACAGUGCAUUAAGCUCUCUUACUAAGACAUACCUUGUGAUCUGAAGUAGAUGGCCACAGAGCCACUGACCAGGCCAGCAUACAAACAGCAUUUCAUGUAAGCCAAGCUAGUAACAGUGGAUUUGUCUGGGGUGAAGAACUGUUGAAGGCGCACUUUCUUGGACCUCUGGCUGCUUUUAUAAACAAUAAUACUAACAGAGAAAGAUACAGUAUUAGGGGAACAAAUAAAUACUUUUUAGAUAUAGUAGUUUUUCUUCAUGUUAAAUACAGUACAUUAAUUGGCCAUUUUAUUAGGUUAAGUCAAAGGGCUAUAAAAUAUGAAUCAUUGGUGGUGUAUCAAUGUCCUGCAUUGUAUUGAGAGGAAGAAUAUGUAAGAAUAUUGGCUACCUUACAGACCUACAGUUCCUAAUAACCCUAAACAAACCCAUAAACCUGUCCAUUAUUUCUAUUCUUUACUCUUUGUGUGAGAACAACUACAAGUACCUCAAAUCACAACCAUUUCGUAGCUGUAAUUAUUUGUGAUCAUAUUUUUUCAUUACCUGCCCUCCUCCAUGCCCAGGCAGACAGUGGGCGUAAAACUGGCUUUUGACAGCAAAACUUGGUUGUUUUCUUGGACUUUGUCAUCAUUCUCCUGAGGCUCUUCU